rnacentral:rRNA from 1 species
ACAGUGGACGCGAGCAUCUGUGGCCAAGUUUUUAAGGGCGCACGGUGGAUGCCUUGGCACCAGGAACCGAUGAAGGACGUGGGAGGCCACGAUAGUCCCCGGGGAGUCGUCAACCAGGCUUUGAUCCGGGGGUUUCCGAAUGGGGAAACCCGGCAGUCGUCAUGGGCUGUCACCCGCUGCUGAACACAUAGGCAGUGUGGAGGGAACGCGGGGAAGUGAAACAUCUCAGUACCCG